AGAGUUUGAUCCUGGCUCAGGAUGAACGCUAGCGGCAGGCUUAACACAUGCAAGUCGAGGGGCAGCGGGGUGUAGCAAUACACUGCCGGCGACCGGCGCACGGGUGCGUAACGCGUAUGCAACCUACCCAUAACAGGGGCAUAACACUGAGAAAUUGGUACUAAUUCCCCAUAACAUUCGAAGAGGCAUCUCUUUGGGUUGAAAACUCCGGUGGUUAUGGAUGGGCAUGCGUUGUAUUAGCUAGUUGGUGAGGUAACGGCUCACCAAGGCGACGAUACAUAGGGGGACUGAGAGGUUAACCCCCCACAUUGGUACUGAGACACGGACCAAACUCCUACGGGAGGCAGCAGUGAGGAAUAUUGGUCAAUGGACGCAAGUCUGAACCAGCCAUGCCGCGUGCAGGAUGACGGCUCUAUGAGUUGUAAACUGCUUUUGUACGAGGGUAAACUCACCUACGUGUAGGUGACUGAAAGUAUCGUACGAAUAAGGAUCGGCUAACUCCGUGCCAGCAGCCGCGGUAAUACGGAGGAUCCAAGCGUUAUCCGGAUUUAUUGGGUUUAAAGGGUGCGUAGGCGGUUUGAUAAGUUAGAGGUGAAAUCCCGGGGCUUAACUCCGGAACUGCCUCUAAUACUGUUAGACUAGAGAGUAGUUGCGGUAGGCGGAAUGUAUGGUGUAGCGGUGAAAUGCUUAGAGAUCAUACAGAACACCGAUUGCGAAGGCAGCUUACCAAACUAUAUCUGACGUUGAGGCACGAAAGCGUGGGGAGCAAACAGGAUUAGAUACCCUGGUAGUCCACGCAGUAAACGAUGAUAACUCGCUGUCGGCGAUACACAGUCGGUGGCUAAGCGAAAGCGAUAAGUUAUCCACCUGGGGAGUACGUUCGCAAGAAUGAAACUCAAAGGAAUUGACGGGGGCCCGCACAAGCGGAGGAACAUGUG
rnacentral:rRNA from 1 species